rnacentral:tRNA from 2 species
GUCCUUGUCGAUUAGUGGUCAAAUCAUCUCGUUGUGGUCGUGCUGCUCCGAGAAGCCGGAAGUUCGAAUCCUCCCUGGGACA